rnacentral:rRNA from 1 species
GGAUGGGCCCGCAUCUGAUUAGCUAGUUGGUGAGAUAACAGCCCACCAAGGCAUCGAUCACUAUCCGACCUGAGAGGGUGAUCGGCCACAUUGGGACUGAGACACGGCCCAAACUCCUACGGGAGGCAGCAGUGGGGAAUAUUCCACAAUGGGCGAAAGCCUGAUGCAGCAACGCCGCCUGAAGGAUGAAGGGUUUCGGCUCGUAAACUUCUAUCAAUAGGGAAGAAAAAAAUGACGGUACCUAAAUAAGAAGCCCCGGCUAACUACGUGCCAGCAGCCGCGGUAAUACGUAGGGGGCAAGCGUUAUCCGGAAUUACUGGGUGUAAAGGGAGAGUAGGCGGCAUGGUAAGUCAGAUGUGAAAGUCCGGGGCUUAACCUAGGAAUUGCAUUUGAAACUGUCGAACUAGAGUGCAGGAGAGGUAAGUGGAAUUCCUAGUGUAGCGGUGAAAUGCGUAGAUAUUAGGAGGAACACCAGUGGCGAAGGCGACUUCCUGGACUGAAACUGACGCUGAGGCUCGAAAGCGUGGGGAGCGAACAGGAUUAGAUACCCUGGUAGUCCACGCCGUAAACGAUGAAUGCUAGGUGUCGGGGGUGAACCCUCUGUGCCGCAGUUAACGCUAUAAGCACUCCACCUGGGGAGUACGACCGCAAGGUUGAAACUCAAAGGAAUUGACGGGGGCCCGCACAAGCGGUGGAGCAUGGUGGUUUAAUUUCGAAGCAACGCGAAGAACCUUUACCAAGGCUUGACAUCCCCUCUGACGCUCUAGAAGAAUAAGAGCUUCUCUUCGGAGCAGGGGUGACAGGUGGUGCAUGGUUGUCGUCAGCUCGUGUCGUGAGAUGUUGGGUUAAGUCCCGCAACGAGCGCAACCCCUAUCCUUAGUAGCCACCAUUCCGUUGGGCACUCUAGGGAGACUGCCGUGGAUAAAACGGGGGAAGGUGGGGAUGACGUCAAAUCAUCAUGCCCCUUAUGUCUUGGGCUACACACGUGCUACAAUGGCUGGUAACAAAGGGAAGCGAAACGGCGAGGUCAAGCAAAUCACAAAAACCCAGUCCCAGUUCGGAUUGUAGUCUGCAACUCGACUACAUGAAGCUGGAAUCGCUAGUA